rnacentral:ribozyme from 1 species
AGAAUACCGUGGUAUCCUCUAUGGCUCUCCAAUUCGUGUUCGUACCGACCACAAAAACUUGACUCAACGCGAUUUGAAGUCUCAACGCCUCCUCCACUGGCGUCUUC